UACAGAGGUCUCAAGCGUUGUUCGGAUUCAUUGGGCGUAAAGCGCGUGUAGGCGGUCCGGUAAGCCGGCUGUGAAAGUCCAGGGCUCAACCCUGGGAUGCCGGUCGAUACUGCCGGACUAGAGUUCGGAAGAGGCGAGUGGAAUUCCCGGUGUAGCGGUGAAAUGCGCAGAUAUCGGGAGGAACACCAAUGGCGAAGGCAGCUCGCUGGGACGUUACUGACGCUGAGGCGCGAAAGCGUGGGGAGCGAACAGG
rnacentral:rRNA from 1 species